rnacentral:rRNA from 1 species
GACGACCGCUGCCGGCGUGCUUCACGCAUGCAAGUCGAACGGACCGGCCCAGCAUUUGUGGCGUGCUCCAGUGGCGAUCGCGUGCGUCAAAUGUUAGUAUCCUGACUUUGACUUUGGGAUCACUCUAGGAAACUGGGGCUUAUUCCGGUUUGGAGCUUCUGCUCCAUGGUGGGGGUUGGCCAGUUUCGGCGGUUGGGGAUGGACUCGCCGCGUAUCAGCUUGUUGCUGGGGUAGUGGCUUCCCAAGGCUUUGACGGGUAGCCGGCCUGACAGGGUGACCGGCUGCAUGGGGACAGAGACACGGCCCAGACUCCUUCGGGAGGCAGCAGUGGGGACUAUUGCACUAUGGGCGUAAGCCGGAUGCAGCAACGCCGCGGGCGUGAUGACGGCCUUCGGACUGUAACCCGUUUUCGCCUGUGACGAAGCGUGAGUGACGGUAAUGGGUAAAGAAGCACCGACUAACUACGUG